GACGAGGGUGGCAAGCGUUAUCCGGAAUUAUUGGGCGUAAAGCGUCCCUAAACGGCCAACAAAGUCGAAUGCCAAAUCUCGAGGCUCAACCUCGAGCGAGUAUUCGAUACUGGUUGGCUUGAGGAUGGUAAAGGUAAUUGGAAUUCCUGGUGUAGUAGUGAAAUGCGUUAAUAUCAGGAAGAACGCCGUUUGCGAAAGCUGAUUACUUGGCCAUACCUGACGUCCAAUGACGAAAGCGUGGGGAGCGAACGGG
rnacentral:rRNA from 1 species